GCCUCUGUAGCUCAGUCGGUAGAGCAAGGGACUGAAAAUCCCUGUGUCGGCGGUUCAAUUCCACCCGGAGGCA
rnacentral:tRNA from 1 species